AGCUUUGCGCAGUGGCAGUAUCCUAGCCAAUGAGGUUUAUCCGAGGCGCGAUUAUUGCUAAUUAAAAUGUCCAUACUACCCAAAGCCAUCUACAAAUUCAAUGCAAUCCCUAGCAAAAUUCCAAUGGCACUUUUGCAGAAAUAGAAA